GCGGGUUUGCUGAUUGGGGAUGAGCCUUUGGAGCUCUGACCCGGAGAAACCCGCGGACCGGGGUUCAAAUCCCCGCGCCCCCACCA
rnacentral:tRNA from 1 species